CAGCCGCCGCGGUAAAACGGAGGGUGCAAGCGUUAAUCGGAAUUACUGGGCGUAAAGCGCACGCAGGCGGUCUGACAAGUCAGAUGUGAAAUCCCCGGGCUUAACCUGGGAACUGCAUUUGUAACUGUCAGGCUGGAGUCUUGUAGAGGGGGGUGGAAUUCCAGGUGUAGCGGUGAAAUGCGUAGAGAUCUGGAGGAAUACCGGUGGCGAAGGCGGCCCCCUGGACAAAGACUGACGCUCAGGUGCGAAAGCGUGGGGAGCAAACAGGAUUAGAUACCCCGGUAGUCCCUGUCUCUUAUAC
rnacentral:rRNA from 1 species